CGAUCUCAACUUCCUCUAACCACUCCCUGGGCCGUCGUGAACCUCGCCACCGCCCAGCUUAGCCUCAUCCAUUCCACAUCACCUAUGGCCGGGGAGCCUUGAGCCGUUCUCCGCCCAGAUCCCGUCUCUCAGCCGUUCUGGCAGCGGCCAACAGCACUCGGCAAGUUACGGUGCUAGCAAAGUACGGCGAGCGGUGGUGGCGGGAAACGGCGAGUGGCUGCGCAUGGUGUUGUGGGAGUGGUGGUGGUGGCGGCAAACGGCGAGCGGCGGCGGCACGGGCUGAUGGGCUAGCGGGGGCUGGGGUCCAGGGCUGAUGGCCGAGCGGCGGGGCGUGCUAAUGAGCGACCGGCGCCGUGGGCUGAUGUUCUGCGCUGAUCAGUUCUCUAGCGAACAGCCGCCCGAGGCAAGGUCUUCUCCCCACCUAGCCAGAAGUUUGAUCCUUCCGAAGAGUUUCUAUUCGCAAGAUGUAUGGUUGAAAAAGGAUUGAAAUAUUGGUGUGACACUAAUAAUUCUUACUAAGAUGUGAUUUCUAUAUCAAUGUGAUGAUUCCUGAACAAGUAAGUUUGUUCCCUCUAGCUCAAUUAAAUUCCAGCCCAUUAUAUCAUUGUUCAUCUCUCUUAUAACUUCUUAGGUAUUGGGAAGUAAUAUUGGAGAUAAAUCGAGUUGUGAUAAUGCUCAUGAUACUAAUAAUGACGAUGGUAUCUAUGGCAAUAUGGGAGAUUAUAUAUAUGGUGAGGAGCCUUAUGAUCAGUACGACGAUAAUGGUGAUGAGUCUGAUGAUCUUCGAGUCAUGCAACAAAGUAAAGUUAUGAAGUUCAUUGAAAAUUAGCUUAUGCGAAAUGCUUGGACCAUUAUAUCUUAGUUACCAUUUUGUUUUGCAUGGGACACUUCUUAGAUGCAUCACUAUGGUCAUUGUAAUAUUGAUUCAACUCAUUAGACAUUUUAUACUUUUUGAUGUUAUGCUGAAUAUAAUAUAUUUUCUUUGGUCAUUUGUAGUUGUGUGAUUAUGAGAUGUAUUUGAAAUGCCAAUAUUUUGAAAUA